rnacentral:rRNA from 1 species
AUUGAACGCUGGCGGCAGGCCUAACACAUGCCAGUCGAGCGGAUGAAGGGAGCUUGCUCCUGGAUUCAGCGGCGGACGGGUGAGUAAUGCCUAGGAAUCUGCCUGGUAGUGGGGGAUAACGUCCGGAAACGGGCGCUAAUACCGCAUACGUCCUGAGGGAGAAAGUGGGGGAUCUUCGGACCUCACGCUAUCAGAUGAGCCUAGGUCGGAUUAGCUAGUUGGUGGGGUAAAGGCCUACCAAGGCGACGAUCCGUAACUGAUCUGAGAGGAUGAUCUGUCACACUGGAACUGAGACACGGUCCAGACUCCUACGGGAGGCAGCAGUGGGGAAUAUUGGACAAUGGGCGAAAGCCUGAUCCAGCCAUGCCGCGUGUGUGAAGAAGGUCUUCGGAUUGUAAAGCACUUUAAGUUGGGAGGAAGGGCAGUAAGUUAAUACCUUGCUGUUUUGACGUUACCAACAGAAUAAGCACCGGCUAACUUCGUG